rnacentral:rRNA from 1 species
AGAGUUUGAUCCUGGCUCAGGAUGAACGCUAGCGGCAGGCUUAACACAUGCAAGUCGAGGGGUAAGGCUCUUUCGGGGGUACACGACCGGCGCACGGGUGAGUAACGCGUAUGCAACCUACCUUUUACUGGGGGAUAGGCCAGGGAAACUUGGAUUAAUACCCCAUAAUACUUCGAUGCGGCAUCGCAUUGAUUUUAAAACUCCGGUGGUAAAAGAUGGGCAUGCGUGACAUUAGGUAGUUGGUAAGGUAACGGCUUACCAAGCCUACGAUGUCUACGGGGUCUUAAAGGAUGGUCCCGCACACUGGUACUGAGACACGGACCAGACUCCUACGGGAGGCAGCAGUGAGGAAUAUUGGUCAAUGGGGGCAACCCUGAACCAGCCAUGCCGCGUGCAGGAAGACGGCCCUAUGGGUUGUAAACUGCUUUUGUUCAACAGGAAGUCCCAUCACGUGUGGUGGGUUGACCGUUGUUCGAAUAAGCAUCGGCUAACUCCGUGCCAGCAGCCGCGGUAAUACGGAGGAUGCAAGCGUUAUCCGGAUUUAUUAGGUUUAAAGGGUGUGUAGGCGGAUUUUUAAGUCAGGGGUGAAAGCCCACAGCUCAACUGUGGAACUGCCUUUGAUACUGGAAGUCUUGAGUAUAGUUGAGGUAGGCGGAAUGUGCAGUGUAGCGGUGAAAUGCUUAGAUAUUGCACAGAACACCGAUUGCGAAGGCAGCUUACUAAACUAUUACUGACGCUGAUGCACGAAAGCGUGGGGAGCGAACUGGAUUAGAUACCCUGGUAGUCCACGCCGUAAACGAUGAUUACUGGUUGUGUGCCUUCGGGUACGUGACUGAGCGAAAGCAUUAAGUAAUCCACCUGGGGAGUACGUUCGCAAGAAUGAAACUCAAAGGAAUUGACGGGGGCCCGCACAAGCGGAGGAACAUGUGGUUUAAUUCGAUAAUACGCGAGGAACCUUACCUGGGCUUAAAUGUAGAGUGCAUUAUUUGGAAACAGAUAUUCCCUUCGGGGCUCUUUACAAGGUGCUGCAUGGCUGUCGUCAGCUCGUGCCGUGAGGUGUCGGGUUAAGUCCCAUAACGAGCGCAACCCCUAUUGUUAGUCGCCAGCGGAUCAUGCCGGGGACUCUAACGAGACUGCCACCGUAAGGUGAGAGGAAGGUGGGGAUGACGUCAAGUCAGCACGGCCCUUACGUCCAGGGCUACACACGUGUUACAAUGGCCGGUACAAAGGGCAGCCACAUGGCAACAUGGAGCUAAUCUCAAAAGCCGGUCUCAGUUCGGAUCGGGGUCUGCAACUCGACCCCGUGAAGUUGGAUUCGCUAGUAAUCGUAUAUCAGCCAUGAUACGGUGAAUACGUUCCCGGGCCUUGUACACACCGCCCGUCAAACCAUGGAAGCUGGGGGUACCUGAAGUCCGUCACCGCAAGGAGCGGCCUAGGGUAAAUCUGGUAACUGGGGUUAAGUCGUAACAAGGUA